UGCAAAUGGGCCUACAAUUCUGUCAAGAAGAACUGGAAGUACACAGUCACAAAAUUUCUGUCUGCUACUGUGGAAGGCUGCUGCCAGUUUAGACCCUUGGACUGAAGCUGUCCGGAGCUGGUCUCGGUCCUCUCUGUAGCUGACUUUCAAGAAGGCAAGGACACUAUUUUCAUUCCCUUUCCAUUCACUUUCAUAUUUCUUCCUUAUUCAGCGCUUUAUUUUAUCCCUGAUGCAGACCUGUGUUGUCAAGUUCUGGAGAUGCAAGACAUUUGGAAGGAGGAACUUUUCAAGCCACCAUCAGCUUGUCUGUUGUAGAGAGCCUCUGCUAAUAUAGCUGUGCUGGUAUGGUGACACAGGUGAAAAAAGGGGGCCACGUCUGCACGGUCUUUAGUCCAGCUGAGAUCCUAACUACUGUCUGGAAAUGUGCUCUGUCUGUCUUCACUGAGAAGUCAGGAGAGCUGCCUCCUUCUGUAACAUGGCUCAUGAGAGGGGGUCUGUAUCGAGGCCUUUUCCUUAGGAAAAAGUAACACAAGCAAUUUCUUCAUAGCUCGUUAAAUAAUUAGCCAGUUGAAGUGUGAACAUAGAAGUGCAGUGAAGGAAUAAAUCACAACAGCAGCAGCUAUAUCAGUUUUUUAUAGUAUUCCAAUUUUCUGUCUGUUACACACUGC